UACGUAGGGGGCUAGCGUUGUCCGGAAUCAUUGGGCGUAAAGCGCGCGUAGGCGGCCAGAUAAGUCCGGUGUGAAAGUCACAGGCUCAACCUGUGAAUGCCGCUGGAAACUGUCUGGCUAGAGUCCGGAAGGGGCGAGUGGAAUUCCUGGUGUAGCGGUGAAAUGCGCAGAUAUCAGGAGGAACACCGGUGGCGAAGGCGGAUCUCUGGGCCUUACCUGACGCUCAGGCACGAAAGCUAGGGGAGCGAACAGG
rnacentral:rRNA from 1 species